rnacentral:rRNA from 1 species
GACGAACGCUGGCGGCGUGCUUAACACAUGCAAGUCGAACGGAAAGGCCCUGCUUGCAGGGUACUCGAGUGGCGAACGGGUGAGUAACACGUGGGUGAUCUGCCCUGCACUUCGGGAUAAGCCUGGGAAACUGGGUCUAAUACCGGAUAGGAGCCAUUUUUAGUGUGAUGGUUGGAAAGUUUUUUCGGUGUAGGAUGAGCUCGCGGCCUAUCAGCUUGUUGGUGGGGUAAUGGCCUACCAAGGCGGCGACGGGUAGCCGGCCUGAGAGGGUGGACGGCCACAUUGGGACUGAGAUGCGGCCCAGACUCCGACGGGAGGCAGCAGGGGGGAAUAUUGCACAAGGGGCGCAAGCCUGAUGCAGCGACGCCGCGUGGGGGAUGACGGCCUUCGGGUUGUAAACUCCUUUCGCUAGGGACGAAGCUUUUUGUGACGGUACCUAGAUAAGAAGCACCGGCUAACUACGUG